rnacentral:misc_RNA from 1 species
AUCUCAUCAAAUAAAGAAGCUGAUCCAACUUGUGCUCGGCAAUUAGGCUGAGGUUUAGGGUGAUUAUGGGCACCUUUGUAGAUGAUUUCCAUUAUUUGGCCAUCAUAGGAAUGCUCUAUUUUUUUCUUUACCUCACAAUUUGGAUGGGUACACUUAUAGUAGCUCCUUGGAUAUUCACUACCUUUCACCUGCUUCUGUCCAUACUUUCUCCAAUUGUAGCCAUCUUCUGAAUUCCUUCCAACUCCUGUUGCAGGUAAUGUCCUUUUCUCUUCUUCNNNNNNNNNNCCGACAUUUUCCCCAGGGAUGGGUUCCAUUUGAAUAGAGGUUUGAUUGCUAGCCACAUCAGUAUGACCCAUUUGCACAUCACUGAAGUUGGAAUUUGCAAUCAUGCCAUUUGAGAUUUUCAUAUCAGGGGC